UGUGUAUUUUGAAGGGAUGUCCAGCAUGCAGUAUGAAUCUGGGGCUGGACUCCUGACCUCGACUGAUCUGCUCAGCUCCAAUCUAGGGCCUUUGUGGAAGCUCCCUGAAGAGAAACCCUGUUUGUGCUCCUGGAAUUGAGCCAGUAAGAACAGAGGGGCUGUAGCGACCAAAUAGCCCCCUGGACGGAAGAGCCUCUGUGCUGGUACUCACCGUCAGCUGAGGUCUUGAAGCAAGUGAUCCUCCUUUGGGUGUAUCGUCAGGGAGUCGGGAGGCGCCUGCCGCGGAGUCACGGCACCUGCUACAAGUCACAGCACCUGCGCCAUUCCUCUCCCUUCCCUCGUCUCAUCCCUGAGGCAUCUGAUCAUGUCUGGCAUCACGAGAAGGGCGCGUACAGUCCAAGAAGAUCUUUGGGAGAAGGAGCAACCGCAUUCACAUAACUUUA